AGGCUUUGCCUCUUUUGCUGAGCCAGUAUAUUAAUAGCAGAGCACGUGGACUUUUCUCCUGACAGUUGGAGGUAACGUUGGUGCUAAUCUAGCUAAAACUUUAUACGAGGUUUAUUUUUCCCUGCUCUUCUUCUGCAGCAAGGGUAAAUGUUCUUCUUUCUCACAACUUUGUGCAGCAAGGGGUUUCACUCAGAAGAGUUGUACCAUAAUUGAUCGGAAUUGCUCUUUAUUCUUUCUAACUACAUAGAAGAGCCCUAGAGCAAGCAGAAGACCCUUGUCAUCUAUGCUUGCCGGCAUGAAGGCAGUUAGGUAUUUUCAUCUGCCUUUUGUGCUAUGAGAAAUUUCCCUGCGCUUCCGUACAGCAACACGUUGCUAAAGUUGGUUGACCAUGCUGUCUAUGAGAUAACAACGCACAGAAUUUUUGAACUUCUUCCGAGUAACCUCUCUGCACCUGUCAGUGUCAUCAACAUGCCUGUCUGGCCCAAAUGCUUCUUUGGCCUUUCACCACAUGCCAACCCAUGAAAAAAUAAAAAUCUAAAAAGAUAGUUAUUUGCAACUCAGUAAAAUUCCACCGUCUCUAAUUUGCACACGUGUUUCGCUCUCACUCUCUUCUGUUAAAACACUCGCUCAGUAAGAUAACUACGGCAAGUUGCAACAAACGUUUGGAUGCAGUGAACUGAAACAACACUCUUCUUAGGCGGUGAAUUUGGUUCUCUCUCGCUACUGUUAGGACUCUUGUACCAACUGAUAUUAGGGAGCAACAAAUUUUAAUAUUGAUGGACUCUGGACAAACAAACAAGCGUCCCUGCUCUGAAAAGAAAUGUCCUGAUAGGAAUGUUAGAUGACGCGAACAGUAUAAACUUAACAUAGUUGUCAGCCAUUACUUCUACUAAUAGGGACACUACCGAACAUAUAAGUUCAAAAAUCCUUGCUCACACAAUCAGCACAUCGGUGCUCAAGCCAAAGGCAAAUAUUCGGCCUCAAGUGCUCCAGACUGGCCCAACAUCAAACUCACAGAGAUUACAUCUCGCCCCUCGAUCAAGGAAUCACAAGCCAUCAAGGCA